rnacentral:rRNA from 1 species
UCGAGGAUCUUCGGCAAUGGGCGCAAGCCUGACCGAGCGACGCCGCGUGUGCGAUGAAGGCCUUCGGGUUGUAAAGCACUGUCGAGGGGGAGGAAGCUCCGCAAGGAGUUGACCUAUCCCUGGAGGAAGCACGGGCUAAGUUCGUGCCAGCAGCCGCGGUAAGACGAACCGUGCGAACGUUGUUCGGAAUCACUGGGCUUAAAGGGCGCGUAGGCGGGCUAUAAAGUCAGUGGUGAAAUCCUUCAGCUCAACUGGAGAAGUGCCGCUGAUACUGAUAGUCUCGAGGGAGGUAGGGGUCGAUGGAACUAAUGGUGGAGCGGUGAAAUGCGUAGAUAUCAUUAGGAACGCCGGUGGCGAAAGCGAUCGACUGGACCUCUUCUGACGCUGAGGCGCGAAAGCUAGGGGAGCAAACGG